ensembl:lncRNA
GAGGAUGAGAUCUCAGAGUAGCAAGUCUUCACUCUCCCUCUCUGUUGGGCUACAGGGGGAAACGCGUGUGAUCUUUCUGGUGUAAUGGAGACAUGCCUUUGCCCUCUGAUGGGAAUGAAGCAGCAAGCCGCCAAGCCACACAACGGAAGCCUGAAAUGAGAUGACUUGGGCAAUUUGCACAAGAGUUUCCUACUUUAAAUAAUUAGAGUCACUAUCCCUGGGGGCAUUUGCUUAUUGGCUGCCUUAACAGUCUUCUUCUUUUUUUUUUUUUAAAGCAAGUCUCUUAAAGAUACUGCUCUUGAUCUUACACGCACUUGCCAAGACUUGUCUUAUUCUUAUAGUACUGAUGUUCUACUGUUCAAAAGUUAGGAAGGAGCUGAUUCUGAGCUGGAAACAAGGGCAGCAGAAGAUAGAGAUAGUAGGCUCAUUUUGUGCAUGAGUCCCAGAGAGAGAGAGUGCCAGCCAUUGCAGGAGGUGGGUUUGAGGGGUUGGAUGUGCAAAAUGAGGUCUAGCUGGCAGCCCCUGGGCAAUCUGCUGACGGUGGGUUGGAAAUGGCAACUGUUGAAAAACACCGCAAACUGAGGUUGUUUCUCAUCUGAAACAUGGCGUCUGCCCUGACUGUAAAUGAUCCCCACAGGGAACUAGGCAAGGGUGUGCUGGUAAACUGGCUCUUUGGAAAGAAAAAAAAGGAGGGUUGGUUUGUAACCUUAGUACAUACUCUGACUCUGGCACAUUUCCAGCUACCACGGUUAACCUGCCUGCCAAAAUCCCGAAUGUUUAACACUCCUCCCUCUGGAACUGGUACCAGAAGCUCCAGCCCGCCACUGGCUAAGAAACAAAUUUCUACUUGCCACUCGCAGGCCAGCUGUGGGUCCACAUGCAAUAC